rnacentral:rRNA from 1 species
UGGCUCAGGAUGAACGCUGGCGGCGCGCUUAACACAUGCAAGUCGAACGGUUAAAGCACCUCCGGGUGUGCAUAAAGUGGCGAACGGCUGAGUAACACGUGGGCAACCUGCCCCCCGCACCGGGAUAGCCUCGGGAAACCGUGGGUAAUACCGGAUACUCCGCCACCCCCGCAUGGGGGAGGCGGGAAAGCGUACACGGCGGGGGAUGGGCCCGCGGCCUGUUAGCUCGUUGGCGGGGUAACGGCCCACCAAGGCGAUUAUGGGUAGCCGGGUUGAGAGACCGACCGGCCAGAUUGGGACUGAGACACGGCCCAGACUCCUACGGGAGGCAGCAGUGGGGAAUCUUGCACAAUGGGCGAAAGCCUGAUGCAGCCGACGCCGCGUGCGGGAUGAAGGCCCUCGGGUUGUAAACCGCUUUCAGCAGGGACGAGGCGCAAGUGACGGUACCUGCAGAAGAAGCCCCGGCUAACUACGUGCCAGCCGCUGC